AACGCGAAGAACCUUACCUACUCUUGACAUCCAGAGAACUUAGCAGAGAUGCUUUGGUGCCUUCGGGAGCUCUGAGACAGGUGCUGCAUGGCUGUCGUCAGCUCGUGUUGUGAAAUGUUGGGUUAAGUCCCGCAACGAGCGCAACCCUUAUCCUUUGUUGCCAGCGAUUCGGUCGGGAACUCAAAGGAGACUGCCAGUGAUAAACUGGAGGAAGGUGGGGAUGACGUCAAGUCAUCAUGGCCCUUACGAGUAGGGCUACACACGUGCUACAAUGGCGCAUACAAAGAGAAGCGACCUCGCGAGAGCAAGCGGACCUCAUAAAGUGCGUCGUAGUCCGGAUUGGAGUCUGCAACUCGACUCCAUGAAGUCGGAAUCGCUAGUAAUCGUAGAUCAGAAUGCUACGGUG
rnacentral:rRNA from 1 species